GACGAACGCUGGCGGCGUGCCUAAUACAUGCAAGUCGAACGCUGAAGGAGGAGCUUGCUCUUCUGGAUGAGUUGCGAACGGGUGAGUAACGCGUAGGUAACCUGCCUGGUAGCGGGGGAUAACUAUUGGAAACGAUAGCUAAUACCGCAUAACAGUAGAUGCUGCAUGACAUUUGCUUAAAAGGUGCAAUUGCAUCACUACCAGAUGGACCUGCGUUGUAUUAGCUAGUUGGUGGGGUAACGGCUCACCAAGGCGACGAUACAUAGCCGACCUGAGAGGGGGAUCGGCCACACUGGGACUGAGACACGGCCCAGACUCCUACGGGAGGCAGCAGUAGGGAAUCUUCGGCAAUGGACGGAAGUCUGACCGAGCAACGCCGCGGGAGUGAAGAAGGUUUUCGGAUCGUAAAGCUCUGUUGUAAGAGAAGAACGAGUGUGAGAGUGGAAAGUUCACACUGUGACGGUAUCUUACCAGAAAGGGACGGCUAACUACGUG
rnacentral:rRNA from 1 species